rnacentral:rRNA from 1 species
UACGUAGGCAGCGAGCGUUGUUCCGAGUUACUGGGCGUAAAGGGUGCGUAGGCGGUUGUUUAAGUUUGGUGUGAAAUCUCCCGGCUCAACUGGGAGGGUGCGCCGAAUACUGAAUGACUAGAGUGCGGGAGAGGAUAGUGGAAUUCCGGUGUAGCGGUGAAAUGCGUAGAUAUCAGGAGGAACACCGGUGGUGUAGACGGCUAUCUGGACCGUAACUGACGCUGAGGCGCGAAAGCGUGGGGAGCAAACGGG